rnacentral:lncRNA from 1 species
UGAAAUGUCAUUUGGACCUAUUGGACUCAUUUUAAUUCGGCCAAAUACAUAGUAACAUACAUAAGAAGAUUUUACUUAUAUUUACCGAACUAUUUGACACGGUCGCGUGAACUUUGUUUACGAGUGUCUUGUGUUCAGAUUGUUUUAAGUGAUAAUUUAACAAUAUUUUUCCAAAUAAAUGGAAAGAAACUUUUAUUUAUAUCAAAUAAUUGAGUGUCUCGACUCUGUGACAUUAUGUCUUGUGUGGUAUGGGGCUGCAGCUCACAUUCAGGAAGAAAAGAAAAUAGCCAACAACUUCUGUCGUUUCAUCGAUAUUAAAUCCAAAAGUGUCGACUGGAUUUACAUGAAAAGUCAGUUCAAGAAGACGAGAUGAAAAAUUUAAAAGAAAAGCUGAACAAGUCACGCCUCAAGAUCAAACGACUUAAUGAAAAAAAAAAAUCAAUGUGACAGGGUGUCACAAAGACAGUUUCUAAACAAAUUGACACUGUUUAGAAAUUAAUAAAUUUGUAUUUAUUGUAAAUAUAAUGUACAUAAUUAAUAACGUGUAUAAUAAAUACUUGCUAAUGAACAGAUUUACGAUCUAAUUUAUAUUUCAUUUUACCUCCUGUUCUUAUUUACUCCUACUCCAACACUCCAGGUUGAUACGAACUGCGCCCAAUAAAGAAUGUAAUGAAUGUUAUAGAUUUGUGUAAGCGACUUAGAUAAAUCUUGACUAAACCUUCCUUUACAAAUACAAAUAUACUUUAUUGCACACAACAUACAAUACUUACAAGUUUUACACGAAAGAUACAGUACACCACCUACCUACCUUUUACUGUCCCUUUCUGUUCUCUUAUGAAUACUUGUAUGCCGUAUUUUUUUUAAGUAUAAUGCUAUAUCUAGUAGGUACGAGUAUGGUAAUCCUAGUAUUGAAACAGCUUGUAGCCCUAGUAAAGACCGCCAUUUUAUGUUUACAGAGUGGCACGUUUUUUCUGUAGGUAUUUCCAGUCCAUACU